rnacentral:rRNA from 1 species
UACAGAGGUCUCAAGCGUUGUUCGGAUUCAUUGGGCGUAAAGGGUGCGUAGGUGGCUCCAUAAGUCGGGUGUGAAAUCUCGGGGCUUAACUCCGAAACUGCAUUCGAUACUGUGGUGCUUGAGGACUGGAGAGGAGACUGGAAUUCAUGGUGUAGCAGUGAAAUGCGUAGAGAUCAUGAGGAAGACCAGUGGCGAAGGCGGGUCUCUGGACAGUUCCUGACACUGAGGCACGAAGGCCAGGGGAGCAAACGGG